rnacentral:rRNA from 1 species
CCUACGGGCGGCUGCAGUGAGGAAUAUUGGUCAAUGGACGAGAGUCUGAACCAGCCAAGUCGCGUGAAGGAUGACUGCCCUAUGGGUUGUAAACUUCUUUUAUAAAGGAAUAAAACGAGGCACGUGUGCCUUUUUGCAUGUACUUUAUGAAUAAGGAUCGGCUAACUCCGUGCCAGCAGCCGCGGUAAUACGGAGGAUCCGAGCGUUAUCCGGAUUUAUUGGGUUUAAAGGGAGCGUAGAUGGGUUGUUAAGUCAGUUGUGAAAGUUUGCGGCUCAACCGUAAAAUUGCAAUUGAUACUGGCAGUCUUGAGUACAGGUGAGGUAGGCGGAAUUCGUGGUGUAGCGGUGAAAUGCUUAGAUAUCACGAAGAACCCCGAUUGCGAAGGCAGCUUACUAAACUGUGACUGACAUUGAUGCUCGAAAGUGUGGGUAGCAAACAGGAUUAGAUACCCGAGUAGUC